UUUGCCAACAUUGGAUUUUUAAUAACGCUUUCAACCUGGACAAUCUGAUGCGAGCAAGUUUCUUGCCCUAUCCAUGCGUCAACCAGCAAUUUCUUGAUCAAGGUGCCGCAUGCCCUAUAGGGAAGCAGAAGGGCGUCAAGGUCGGUGCCGGCCGCCCCAAUGUGGGUGCUCAAGGACAUCGGCAACGUUGUCCAUGCCCACGUCCUCGACGUCAACAAGAUCCGGUUGUCACUGGGCAUCAAUCGCCCAAUCACCAGAAGCUUGGGGGCCCAGCUCUUGAAGAAGGCUCAGGCCAAUCCAUCUAAGGUACAAACAGAACCCCCUUUCCUCUCCUACAUGCUUCGAAAGCAAUUUAAAGAUGCCAUCAAAGUUUUGAUCCUACAUUCGCAGGAGUUCUUAGGUUUUUCUUAACUUACCAUUGCUGGAGGAACUAGACAAACACUCUAGGAAGUAUCACUAACACUAAUCUGCGACCACUCAAAUCUUAUCUGAUCUCUUAUCUAAUCUGCGUCUUUCGAAGCUAGCCGGAGGAACCGGAGUUGAUGCGUGUGUAAGUAGGUCCAUUUGUAUCUAGGAGUGAUGUAUUGUUGAUGUUCGUUUUAUUAUGACAACUCUCUUAUAACAUUACUGUAAGCAAUUUACAUGCUUUCUCCUUCUAUAAAAAAUAGCGUAAGCAAUUUGCGUGCUCUCAGAAACAAGUUGGGGUUAGUACGAGGUCACGGAGAAACUAUGCCUACCAGGAGGAGAUGGUACGCAACACAUUUUACUGAACCUAUGCCUACUAAGGUCAGGGCCUCCUCUCCUCUUUACCAUAGGAAAUCAAGUCCUCUCUAAUUAUGAUAUUACAAACAAUUUUUUGGCAACUCCUAAUAAUCUUUUGCAUUCUUUUAGGGACCAAAAUUUUUUAACAACACAUGCCAUAACAAAAGGAUCAUUUUCCAUAUUCUGUUUUCUACUUGACAUUAUAUUAGCUGUAUGAAUCCCUUUUGCAAUGAUAUUAGCUUGUGGGUUUCCAAAUGCAAAUCAUGCCAGUUGUUCUUCCUCUAGAAAAUGCAAGGAUUUCUGUCAUUUUCAUCCAUGCCUGUGGGAAAGAAGUGUUGCAACUAUAAGUAAUUGAAUGUAUCUCCUAAAUAGGAAGAAGAUAUGAGAAAGAAGACUCACUGAUACACGGCUUCAGAGAAUGGAUAUAUAGAUACGGAGACAAGGAAAUACGUAGAUUUUUAAGCACUCACCAGUUCAAAUAUUACUUUGCCAAAGAUCUGCCGGGAAACAAGAUGGGUGACAAAGGUUAUUCCUAUUGUUAUUCCAUAUAGAUCUUUUGCUUAUUUGUCAUUAUAGAUCAUGUUUUGUUGGACACUGAAAGUAUUACGUUCGGUGUACAUAGCUAUUGUGCAUGAUUUUAGUUUGUGAGUCAUCCGUAAUUUUUGCAACCUUGAAGUUGUAUUAUGUUGUUGUCUUAUACUUCAAAAUAGCAGUUUGGAUUAUUGGACAAGAAAAAUAAAAUAUAUAGCCGCACACAAAAAUUUAUUUAUUUUACGAAGUAAUCUUGUAUUAUGCCAAAUAUUUAGUGACAAUUAUUUAUCACAUGAAUGUAUUGAAAAUUAGGGAACAGAAAAAGCUUAUAGUCAUCACCAGGAAACAGUUCGUGGAUGUUGAUGCUGGCGUUGAUAUGAGAAAAAUAGUUACUUUCAUCGCAGGCCUUGAUUUAUGUGGUAGACGCUACGACAUACCUGGGCACCCUCUGUUUCGGUGUCUUCAAACUUUGCACAAGAAGGAUUAUUACAAUCCGAACUUUAUUGUAAGUGUCCGACUCCUUUGUCUUGUACAUGUGUAUUUUUGCAGCUUCUCAUGUAACAGACACUCGAGUCUAAUUUUUUACAGGAGUAGGAACUUAUGUUGUGUUCGCUUCCUAAUCAUCGUAAGGAUAUCAUCUUAGGGCAGGAAGAAUAGUUGCAUCUUCUCCUAUGCUUAGUGUUAAUUUGAAUUGCUAUUCUGAAAGUUUUAUUUGGGGAAAUUGAAAGUAAUUAUCCUUGUUCUCUGUCUGCAGGCAGAUGAUGCACAUGUCUCAAGGGAACCAUGGCAUGACUUGCAUUUGAAAAUGGAUGGUCCAACAGCUUAUGACGUUAUGCAGAAUUGUUGGCUGAAGGCAUCGAAACACCAUGGCAAUACUGAGAAAUAUCCUCUAAAUAUUCCGGAGAUGGACCCAUGAACCAGAUUUGGAAACAUUUAUGGAUGCAUAAAUUUUAGGACUUGAUCCAUUAUUAUCUAAUUAUAUAGCUUAUAGUCUUAUAGCUAAUGACACAAGUGCUCUCUUAAAAAAUUGUGGAAGUAAGUACUUAUCUCUGUCUCUACUUUGUCGGUGACAAGUUCAAUUUUUUCAUAUUGAUGGAUCAAGUCGUGUUGGUUUAACUUUCAGGUAGUAUAAGGAACUUGUAGUUGUUUUUUGUUACUUAUCUUAUAAGCUACAGAAAAUAGCACUAUCAUCUUUAAGCUGGUGACUGGUUAGUGGCCUCUGUUAGGUCUUCCUGGUAGUCCAAACGUCUAUUAAUUUUGUGAAUUCAAAUUGAGGGAUAUAGUAGGUGUGAUGAAUGGGAUGGGAAAGGUGCAAUAAGGAGACGCCGGUAGAUUGGUUGUUUGUACCAUAUUAACAUAAUGUACUUUUAGUUUUAAAAAUAUGGUGUGAGCAUGGGACUGAUGCCUGGUCAUAUUGGGUGUAAAGAAUUUUCCCUUUUCAUCAUGCCUCCUUGUACAUUUCCAUUUGUGAGAUUAAUAAAGAAAGAACGAACUGACUUGUCAAGGAUUGCAUAUGAUGCACGAAUACAAAAUUCUACAACUGAAUUUGUUUAGUGCUAUGUUUUUCAGUAAGAAUAGACACAAUAUUUUCCAAGUUGUGUGAGCUGGAAUCUGAACUACAUGAUUAGAAAUUGUAAAUUUUUAAAAUUAGAAUAAACAAAUGUAGUGAAAUUAUAUUGUUCGGCGAAACGGAAGCAGAAUGGAUUCACUUGGCAAAUGUGAGAGUUGAUGUUAAGAGUGAACACUGUCAAGGCGGGAAGAAAUUCGGACAUCACUAAUGCCACCAUGACCUCAACUUCGAAGAAUUGAGUCCGCAUCCGCUUCCCCGUGCCUGGAUGUUGGAGGAGAACGAUGAGUUUGACUAGACAAAUAUACACGAUGAGAGAUAUUUAGCAAUAUGUUUGAAAAACAAUGGUAUACUAGUAUAUGUUUUUUUGACCCGUGGCAAAUUGGACCUACACACAUACCAUCCGCUGAGGGGAAAGGAAAAA